CCAUUGGUUCAUAGUUAUGACUAGAAAACAAUAUGGCUGACAGGUGGCCAUUUUAGAUUUGAACAGGGAAAUAACAAUUUUGGAUAUACAAAUUUUAUCCAUUUUCAACAGGAAGAAGUCAAAUUUCAUUGGAAUAAUUCUGAUGUAAUUGUAAUUAGAUGUUUUGGGAAAAUAAGAUUCUGCCUCGCCCCAGGGGCUGGAGGGUCAUAGCUGAAAUGGGGAAAAUAUUUCAAGUUUUACAGAUCUUCAUCUCCAGACUCAGUUGUUGUACAGUCAAAUUCUCAUUGUGUGUUGAAAGAUCUCUAAAAGCUUCAUCCCCAAAUUGUAAAUUUCAGUAACUCAGGAUCCUCUGGUCUCCUUGAGGAGGGAGUAAAGUUUACUAUAUAUAUAUAAUAGUCUUCCUAGGAAAAUACUGUUAAUGAGGAUAUUUCGUGAUUUUGUUAUGUAAACUAUACACAUGGGGGCUAUUUCCGCAAUUGAUUUACCUUACUUUAUGUCCAAUAAAUAAACUGCAUAUCACAAAACCAUACGCCUGGGGAAAAUUUACGCGGUUGAAUGACUUCAGUGUAUUUUGUGUAAAUGUCCCCCUUGAGUAAAUGUCCACGUUUACAGUAACACAUUUUGAUACAUUUUGUCUAUUAGAUAUGAAAUGGUAGUAGUCAGAUUCUAACCUAUAUCACAGAGCAAAUUGGCUAAAUGACAUUGUAUUAUAAUUGUCUGUUGCAAAAUAAUGUAUUAGCAUAGUUCUUAACCUUUUUUUCUUUGAAGACAUGACAAUGCAAGUAAUAAAUACAAUUUUGUUUAAAUGAUAAUUUCCUCAUAGUGUCACAACAAUGGAAUGUGCCUCUCAGGGCUGACAGUAUCUUAUUGUCCACACUCCGUAGACUCUGUAUAUAUUUGUAUAUUGCAGUAUCUGUAUAUUUGUUCUGUAUUUUGUCAGUGUAAUGGUAUGAAUGUUUUUCCUUGACAUACAAACUUGCACUCUUGCAAAUGAUCCUGCAUGAGCCCAAGCAGCAAAUUCUGUCGGUGAAAAUGAAAAUGAUGAGCAUAAUGGGGAUAAAGAAUGCCAAGAAAGACGACCAAAAGUAAUCAAAAAAAGAAAACCGGUUGUGAAGAGAAGUGCUGCUAGUGUCUCAGAGCAGUCUGAUUCUGAUCAAGAUGCUGAGAAUAAAGAAAGACCAAAAAAAGUUCUCCACAAAAACAAAUUUACAAAGAAAUGUGAUCUGGACAGUGAACAAUAUGAUUCUGAUCAGGACCCGGAAUAUAAAGUUCUCAGUGAUGAUUCCAGAAAAGUAGACAAUUCUGAAUCAGAAAUGGAGAUAUCUAGUACAUCACACCCACAUUUGAAAAGAACAAGAAUACAAUGGCAGCCAGAACGCAGUGCCAUUGAAAAUUUGAUUUUACCCACGGUUAUUAAAAACAAGAAGCCACCGAGGAAGCAGUUGGUGAUGAAAGCAAAGAAACAAUCCAAAUAUUUGCAGAAUAUCAACUGGAAACAGAUAAAGUACACGGAUUGGUCCAUGUUUCAGCAGUAUCAGGGGGAAAAAUGAAAUAACAAAAAGUUUACUGAAAAUCUAGACAUUCUCAGAUAUAUAUAAUUAUGCAUAAAUACAUUUAGUAUUUAUAUCUGCAUAUUAAUAGAGGAGAACAGUACUCCCUUUAUCCUAGCCAGAAUGGCAUGGGUUGUUAUUUUUCAAUUUGGACUUUGUAUAUAAUUCAAAGAAAGUACACUCACAAUUUGAACUAUAGGUUCAAUGUUUUAAUUUGAAUUAAUUGUAUAGCUACACAGGCUUUGUUUGCUUUUUGUGAUACGUCCGUCGAAGUUUGAUAGGCAUAUUAUGCAUCUAUCCAUCUUGGUGUGUGUCUACAGUUCCGUCUAGAGAAUGUGAUAUGACCCUAUUUUUUUGUAUGAAUGUUCUUGUGGAGUCUUUCAAUCACAGUAUGGAUUCAAUUAAUGAAAAGAAUUUCUUUUUUUCCAAUUUUUCUACAUUUUUUGGACUGAUAUUUUCGGUUCAAGUUUUGGUGUGUGUUUCUCCAGCGGUCUAUAUGUAAAAUUUUGCCAUGAAUGUUCUUAUGGGUCUAAAAUGAUGAGUUUGAUUCAAUUUGUGGAAUUAAUUUCAUUUUUUUUUCAAAUUUUUGAUACAUGUAUGUUUUGGUGCAGGUUUCUUCAGUGGUCCAUGAUUCAAUUAGGUAAUGCUAGACGACUCUAAUUUUUGGCAUGAAUGUUCUUGUGAAGUCCUUCAACCACGGUAUGAAGUCAAUUAAUGAAACAAAUCUCAAUUUCUUCAAUUUGUUGACAUCUUGAUUGUGCAUUUGAUUCCAACGGCAAGAAACUAUGUUGAUUUAAGCAUUCAUAUGAAUAGUAAUAGGAGAUGCAGACAUUUUUUGCAGAAAAACACAACCAGUAGGUCAUCUCAAAUGUGUGACUUCAAAUAUAAUUCAGUCACAUCAUAGUACAUUGUACAUGUGUAAUGUAAACAGCUAUCAGCUGGAUUGUGUUUUACCGCUAUCAAAUCAUAAGAUGUAUAUCUGUUUCCUACUUGCCUUCUAUCCCAUUUCAUUGACAGCAAGGUCAAACUUCAAGGUCUUUAGGUCCAAGGAUCAUUGUCAAAUUUUGUAUCUUUUCUCUGAUGAUCAGUUUGUUAUGACAUUAUGAAGUAAAAGUUGGUCGGAGUUCAACAAGAAGUCAUGCAGGUCACUGGGUCAAAGUUCUGUUAGCACAGCAAAUAUGAGGAGGUGGAGGAAGGAAACAAUACUUGCAUCAUAGUACAUGUAUAAUGUAGACAGCUAAACUAAAUUUAAAAACAAAAAUGAAACUCAAGGGUAUCGUAAAAACUUGUUUUCUUGUUAUCAGAUUGCCUUAUACUUUUAUACAUACCUUUUAAAAUAAACAGUGUUCUUCAACUUA